ensembl:lncRNA
CCACUCAAACACACUAUUUUUGUUUCUGAGGCCACAAGUCCAAGUCCAAACCAAAUUGCUUGCAGACUAUGCUUUGAUUCAGGAGAAAGAAGAACAGUAUGCUGCUGGCUCAUAAAGCUAGCCAGCGAGCACAACUCUUCUCCGCUUGCAAAGAUUCUGGUUUAUCUUAGCCCGGACCUCCCUUUCGUCCUCUGGCACAAUUUCAGUGACGUUAUCAAGCAAGCACUGUUUGAUCUUUGCACAUUUCCAGGAAUAGCUGCCUUGUUUCUCCUGCUGUGAUAAAACAACUUCCAAUGCCACUCUGCAGUGAGCCCUGAGGGCACCAUUACUGUGAAGAAGUCAGGAGCAUAUGGCCUGGGUGACCUUGAGCCAUCUCAAGCAGAGACAAGUCUGUGCCUGCUGAUAGUGGGUGGGGAGGGAGUGAGGGCUGGAGGCUUCAGCAGUGUUACUGAGCAUGCUCAGUCCAUGUGUGAACGCUCACUACAGGCCAAGCAGCAAACCGGGGAAGGGGGAGAUGUGACCCUGCAUUGCCCUCCAGGCAUCACCUGUGAUCUCAAGCAUCUGCCUUCUCUGGGCCUUUGAUAGAUUGCCUCAGGAACGAUAGAUCUACCUUGAUCACCACUGCUUGUAAUAAUUUUAGCAGUGUUCACUAUAUCCCUUGUUACAUGGGCUCCUUGAUGCUAUUCAACCCUGCCAUCCCCCAUAGCUACCAGGUUUGAAAAUUGUCCCCAUAGACUCACUGUGCUGUGUGCUGACAGAUGGCCCAGAAGCAAGCAUUUUGGCCUCAGUUGGGGUAUCCACACUCCUCCACACUUGCUAAAAGACUGACCUGGAUACAGAUGAAUAAGAAACAAACAAGGGAAAAUACAUUCUCUGCAACGUUGCCCCUUCCACUCAAUACAGGUAGAAAAUAAGGAGAACUCUUAUGGCUACACCUACACUGACCUGUAAAUUAUCCCUCUGCAUUUUGCACUUUUUCAGUGUUUUUAAUCUUUAUUUAAUAUUGUGUUCGUUGUUUAUUACUGCACACUAAAGCGUGAAAAACAUUGUGACAUGCUGUAUUUCAAAAUAGCACCGCCAUAUUCAGCACUAAUAUGAUUAUGAUAUGUUUUGUACAAAGUAUGCCUUGUGAGGCAUCAUGUAAAAAGUCUUGAUCUGCUGAACAUUAAUAAUCUGUUGAAUUGUAUGUGCUGUCAUUGUAUGUGAAGUUAUGAAGUAUUGCUACAUGUUUGCUACUGAAAUAUACAGUAAGUGGGAAACGGCUUCAGCUGGUCUUUCAAUGGCAACAAAGGACCAACUGACAAGAUAGAUUUAUAUCAGCCAGACAUGUGUUGGUGGUCCAUCAAGAAGACUACUCACAGAGGGCACAUACAUAAUUGAGGCUACCUAACCCCCAGGUCACAGCAAUGAGGGUUGAUGGCAUCAUCACUUGGCCUCUCUCCUCCCCCAUCUCAACACCUGGAAGAUCAUCUGGAAGACACAGACUUUGAAUUUGGGAGAUUGGUCCUAGGCUGAAAGGGAAUUCAGCCUCUAUAUUAAGAACUGUAACCUGCCUGGAACAUCCAUUGGGGUGAGAAAAGCAGUUUGAUUCAAAUCUUACUUAGUCUGUUAAAGUUAGAAUUUAGACUAAAGGUCUAUUUUUUAUUUCUUAUGUAACCGAUAUUGACCUCUGUGACUAACACUUAUAAAUCGAUCUUUCUGUAGUUAAGUAAACUUACUUUAAUGGUUUAGCCUUACCAGUGAGUUUGUCUAAAGUGCUUGUGGAAUCUG